ACAGGUGCUGCAUGGCUGUCGUCAGCUCGUGUCGUGAGAUGUUGGGUUAAGUCCCGCAACGAGCGCAACCCUUGUUCUAUGUUGCCAGCAAGUUAUGUUGGGGACUCAUAGAAGACCGCCGGGGUCAACUCGGAGGGAGGUGGGGAUGACGUCAAGUCCUCAUGCCCCUUAUGUCCAGGGCUGCAAACACGCUACAAUGGCCGAUACAAAGGGUCGCCAGCUCGCGAGAGUUAGCUAAUCCCAUAAAGUCGGUCUCAGUUCGGAUUGAAGUCUGCAACUCGACUUCAUGAAGCUGGAGUUGCUAGUAAUCCCGGAUCAGCACGCCGGGGUGAAUACGUUCCCGGGUCUUGUACACACCG
rnacentral:rRNA from 1 species